UAACAAGGUCUCCGUAGGUGAACCUGCGGAGGGAUCAUUACAAGAACGCCUGGGCUUCGGCCUGGUUAUUCAUAACCCUUUGUUGUCCGACUCUGUUGCCUCCGGGGCGACCCUGCCUUCGGGCGGGGGCUCCGGGUGGACACUUCAAACUCUUGCGUAACUUUGCAGUCUGAGUAAACUUAAUUAAUAAAUUAAAACUUUUAACAACGGAUCUCUUGGUUCUGGCAUCGAUGAAGAACGCAGC
rnacentral:misc_RNA from 1 species